CCAAAAGUUGUAUGAUGGAACGAAAUAUUGAAACAGUGACAUGACUCCUACAAAGUCACAGGUAUAAUUAUGAAAAAUAACUCAACGUAUUCUGGGCCCCCAUCCACUGCUCAUUCCAGAUAAAACUCGCUGAAUUUGAAGGACGCAUUAAUUAACAGAUACAAAUCUACGUUCUCAUGGAAGGAUCAAUACGGAGAAGAAAAGAGGCAUCAAUGUGAAUUUAGUGCUGAUGAUGGAGAAGGCACGCUAUCGACAUUUACGUGCACGGAAACUUUAAAGUUGCACCAGGCCCCCUUUGUCCCUGUGAUUUACAAAUUAACAAUGUUCCAGCCAUAACAACAUUUCACACAUUUCUUUGGGGUUUAAUUAAGCAAAAAAAAUAAAAUUUCAUUUUUAAAGUUGA